rnacentral:rRNA from 1 species
ACCCGUUGAUCCUGCGGGAGACUGCUGCUAGUAGGAUUCGACUUAGCCAUGCAAGUCCAGGGGACUAAGUCACCGGCAACAUGCUCAGUAACACGUCGUUAACUUUCCCUUAAGUCAGGGAUAGCCACGGGAAACUGUGGGUAAACCCAGAUAUGAUAUACCACCUGGAAUGCGGUAUAUCAGAAACUCGUGCUUAAGGAUGGGGCGGCGGCCGAUUAGGUCGUUGGCGGGGUAACGGCCCACCAAGCCAAAGAUCGGUACGGGCCAUGAAAGUGGUAGCCCGGAGAGGGACACUGAGAUACUGGUCCCAGCCCUACGGGGUGCAGCAGGCGCGGAACCUUUACAAUGCACGAAAGUGUGAUAAGGGAAUCCUACGUGCUCAUGCUUUUGUAUGGGCUUUUAUCAACCGUAAAUAGGUUGGAGAAUAAGUGGUGGGUAAGACUGGUGCCAGCCGCCGCGGUAACACCAGCGCCACAAGUGGCAGUCACGAUUAUUGGGCCUAAAGCGUCCGUAGCUGGAUGUGCACAUCCUCCGUGAAAUCCAUCAGCUUAACUGAUGGGCAGGCGGAGGACACGACACAUCUUGGGAAUGGAAGGAGUUAGAGGUAUUCAAGGGGGAUCGGUAAAAUGAGAUAAUCCCUUGAGGACCACCGAUGGCGAAGGCAUCUAACUAGGACAUGUCCGACAGUGAGGGACGAAAGCCAGGGGAGCGAACCGGAUUAGAUACCCGAGUAGUCCUGGCCGUAAACGCUGCGAGCUAGGUGUUGCACUUCCCAUGUGGAGGUGCAGUAUCGACGCGAAGGCAUUAAGCUCGCCGCCUGGGAAGUACGGUCGCAAGACUGAAACUUUAAGGAAUUGGCGGGGGCGCACCACAAGGGGUGCGGCGUGCGGUUUAAUCUAAUUCAACACAGAGAAUCUCACUAGAGGCGAUGGCAGAAUGAUGGUCAGUCUGAAGGGCUUACCGGACGAGCCGAGAGGUAGUGCAUGGCCGCCGCCAGCUCGUGCCGUAAGGUGUCCAGCUAAGUCUGGUAACGAGCGAGAUCUGUAUCACUUCUUGCUAACAGCUAACAUGUUAGGACUGAGCACAGUAGUGAGACUGCCUUGGUAACAAGGAGGAAGGUGCAGGCUACGGUAGGUCUGUAUGCUCCGAAUCUUCUAGGCUACACGCGCGCAACAAUGGCUAUGACAAUGGGCUGCAACACCGAAAGGUGAAGCUAAUCCUCGAAACAUAGUCUUAGUUCGGAUUGAGGUUUGUAACUCAGCCUCAUGACGCUGGAAUCCCUAGUAACCAGAAGUUAUCAGCUUCCGGUGAAUAUGUCCCUGCGCCUUGCACACACCGCCCGUCAAACCAAUCGAGCAGGGUCUGGGUAAAGCACAGCUUUUUGGCUAUGCUGAAUCUAGGCUCAGUUAGAUGGGUUAAGUCGUCACAAGGUA